AUAAAUAAAAAACUUCCGUACACAUGAAAAGAAUGAAAUGAUAAAGAAAACGGCACUAGAUUUUUUUUUUUUCCUUCUUAUAUUGGGGCAUGAAGAGUAAUGAGUAUAGACACUGGCACAUUAAGUUUUCUAGAAAAAGAAGCAUUUAAUUUCUUUUUUUUUUUCUUCUUUUUUUUUUUUUUUUUUUUUUGUCCUUGCUAUUCUUAAAGAAUUAAAAAGAUGGUGGCCUUAAGGCUGUGUAGUUGGAAAAUGAUCCACUGGCUGGAUCCAUACUACUGGCCUCUAAAUACGUAUGCUUUCAUUAAAAUACUGAUUUAUGUGUUGAACACUACCGAAAGGCCUGCGAAAGAACACACACACACACACACACACACACACACAAGAAAGAAAAGAUUCACAUGCACGGAUACACUUACACACAUACACAAAAACAAAUACACGUACCCAUGCAUGCACUCACACGCACAAACUUCUUAUACACCCUUAUAUAUGGUAGAGGUAUUUUGUACGUAUGUGUAUUUGUGCAUGUGAGCGUGUGUGCACAAAAAAAUUGCAGUGAAUUUUUUUAACUUGUAAAUCUUUUCCCAUGUAGACCGUAUUGGACACUAUAAGCGUCCAAGCUUACUGUGGUAUAUAUAUAUAAAAAAAAAAAAUUACAAAAAAAAGUAAUUUGGCUCUAGAUUUAUUCUAAAGAUAUGAUGGUCACGUGUUUGCCUUUAUCGUGCGAUAGGAAUAGGAGAGUUGUUCAAUUUGACACUGGGUUUUUAUUUAUUAUUAUGGCAAUGAGGGAUGAUGAUGAUGUUGUUGUUGUUGUAAAGGUACAAGCCAGUUUUAAUAACUGUAUUCAAAUGGGAAUUUUUGGGAGUGGUUUUGUGAACGAUUAUGAUUAUGAUUUUUUUUUUUCCCCACCACACUUUUUUUUAUGGUUAAGGUCAAGUUUACAAAAAAAAAAAAAAAAUGUUUAUAAAUGACAGUAUUUGAGCAAAAACUAUGAACGCCGUUAAGAAUUUCCAAUUCGUUUCGCAUACACUGCCACUAAGAAGACGACUGUUAGUUGACCUCUUCCACUUCAUAACAAAAUGUAAUACAAAGUUCCUUUUUACUUUUGGACAAUUGAUUUGUUCUUUUCAUAUGUUCCGUGAUUUUUGUUUAAAAACAAAAGAAGGCAAGGAAAAUGGCAGAUUUCUGUAUGCAAACUGGCCCAGAACCCAAGUUAAUUGCUGCUCCUCACAUGCUCACUUGGAGACUGUUGUCAGCUGUAGAAUCCAACGUGAUGUGGAUAUUUCUAAUAUUAUUAUUAUUAUUUGUUAGUGACAUGGAAAUGUUAAGCUAUUUAGGGCCGUUGGCUAGGUUAGAUCAAAAGUGAGCUGGACAGAAAUAACCUCCUAAAGGAGUAAAACUCUGUAUUUCCUGUCGUUGGCGACUACUAUGACUCAGCUGUUUGGGCCGGUGAGGUGAUUCAAAUGCACUACUCCUGUUCCUAUAGCCCCACCUAGUGGCUCAAAUAGCCGUCAGUGAUUGUUGCCUGACGGGACGUACAGAGGGCGCUAGAGAGACAGAGAAGGAAAUAGGGACACAAGGCAACAGAAACAUCUACUGAACCACAAUACAAUAAACACGGUCAUUCAUUUUUAAUAUACCACAGAUUUUCAGAGAAUCUCUCCAGACAAUAAGAAACAUUCCCAAAUGUAUCACCAUAUAGACAUUGUGUGUGUCAAGUGUUUUUUUGGAAGUGAGGAAAGAAGGUUUGUAAUUUUGGUGUUCCGUCACUCAAAAGUUCUGUGUUCAUAUUUGGCUUUAUUGUACACUUAUUUUAUGGAUAUGAAAGACUCAUCUGCCGUGCAACUGCAAUCUGGCAAUUUUGCUCACUUAUUUGAACAGAAACACCUUUGUAGUGUAGUUCAAAUGAUGACGAAACAUACACAAUCACACAAUUUAUUUAGACUUUUUCCUUUUUGGAAUUUUGGUCAAAUAAGUUGUAGGUUUUUUAAAAGAAAAACAGUGCUAAUUUGCACAUUUACUUCAAAAUCCUGUGCUUAAACAUGAAUUGUUUUACUUAAGAAAUGAAAUUCUAUGAUUUUCAUUUUUCCUUUUUUUUUGUUUUUUCUUUUUUUUUUUUCAUUGUUUAUAAAGGAAAUAUCUUUCUUAAAAGCUUGAUAAGAAGACUGCAUUUUUUUCUUGCAUAUAUGUUGCACUGCUUAAACCAAUAAGUGCACUACUGUUACCAGAGAUGUUCUAGUUUUAGAGAUAACCAUUUUUUAUUAUCAAAUAUUUGGUUCUAUAGUUCAAUUGUGUUUGAGUAGGUUUGUUCCUUUUUUGAUUAUAGAUGAAAUUAAAUUUCUUGGCUUUGUUAUCAUCACUUGCUAUUGUAUUUACUUUGUGCUGUUUAUGCAAGCAUAUUUUUUUGUUUGUUUAUUUAUAUUCAAACCAUUGUGAGAACCUAUGUCAGAACCUUAUGAUGCCACCCCCCCCCCCCCCCCAUACAUCCCACCAACACCCCCCAACGCUGUUAAUUAAUUAAAGCAAAUUCUCCAUUCUCUUCUCAUUCAUAAAGCAUUCAUACCCAACUAAAUCAAAAAAACUUCAAAAAUCAAAAAAAAAAAAAAAAAAAAAAGAAUUGUAGUGUGUGCCUAAAUAUAUGAUUCAUGUCUUUUAGAACAAGAACAUUUCUCCGAGAGGGUCGUUGUGCAAAGCUUUUAGUGCUGUCUAGGGAUCAAACACAUUUGUAUGUGUGUGUGUGUGUGUGUGUGUGUGUGUGUGUGUGUGUGAGCAUGUGUGGUGUGCAACAUGUUUGUGUGUAUAUUCCUCUGGUGUGUCUCAAUUUGUGCGUUGUACGAUUUGUGAUGCCUGAACUGUAGGGCUUCCUUUGCAAUAUGCAGUACAGGUACAGCAACAGUGACAACAUGUUAUUUUACAAACUUGGGAGUGCAUUUGGUAACUUUCUCAAGAACAAUCAUUGCUAUUUUCCCUCACAUAAAUAACAAGAGGAAAAUUAUGCUAUUAAGGCUCUUGCUUUAAACCUGGCUGAUAUGAUCCAGUGUGACACAAAUGACAUGCCAGUGUGUGAUUUCAACAAAUAUAGGCCUCUUCUCAACCAUGCCGAAUCUUCUGCAGUACACUUCUGUGCUUUGAGACCAAACAUCACUUUUUACUCAACUAUGCUGCAAAGCUUGGCCACAGGCUGUGAUGUAUCUGUCCGAGGUGUUGCCUUAGACUAGGAUAUGUGUUUGUUGGUCUGUUCUUCUCAUUUGGAAUGAUUUUCAAAUAUUCAAAUCAAGCUUUUGUCCGCUUCUUGAGAAGAAUGGCUCCUGGUGCUACAGCGUAGGCCCUUGGUGUACCAAAUGGUUGUGUUAAGUAGCAAAAAGUGAUAUGUUUUGUGUUGGUCACAUUUAUGAGGUUUUGAUAAUGGAGAUUUUGGGUGGUGGUUCUGGUGGUGGUGGUUGUGUCUCUUCCAUUUUUAAUUGUGGCUAUAGUUGAUAUCAUCCAACAUUGUUUGUGAGACCUGCCUUUAUCAGCCAAUCAAAGGGUGCUUUUUGUCAGAAACGGAAAAUUAAUAAUAAUGAGCAUUAUCUAAAGAAUUACAAUAUCAUUUAAAAAAUAUUCAGACAGUGUACAGUGGGGUUCAAAAGCCUGAGACCAUAUUGAAAAUCUGGGAUUCAAAAUCUAGGGUAUUUAAACUUGGAAAUAAGCAAAGUUUUAGAAUUUAAAAAAAUAAAUGUUGCGACAUAAUGUUGCACUAUUAAUUUGUCACUAAUUAAAUAACCAAAUUUGUGACAUUGACAAUGUUAACUCUUUCGUAUAAAUGGUCAGAUUGCCUUGCUUCCAUUGAAGCGCACAAGAUGCUCUUUCUCAAAUCAUUCUGGAUAACAUGGAUCAACUAAGAAAUUCUGAAACUUGUGUUCAUUUUUCAAUACAUUGUUUCACUCUAAUGGUUGUGCUUGAUAAUAAAAUUUAGAAUGAAAUUUUUUUAUUAAAUUACAAAAAUGCUAAACAAAAGCAUUUUUAACUACUGGUCUCAAACUUUCAGACCCCAAUGUAUAUAAAAUCAAUUACCGUCCAUGUGGAAUUUAAAAAGUUAAAAAAAAGUUACAGCAGCAAAAAUUGCUAUUCUCUAUUCACAGGAAAAUAACGUUUAAUACCUGUCGGAUAUAUCCCUAGUGGAGCGUCGGGCCAGUUAAAAUGUAUUUCUACACAUCAAAGCUGAAGUGUGUUAAAAUGGUUUCUGCCAUCCCAGCUUACUAGACAGUGACAAAUAUUAAGGCCCAGGUAUACUUCAUUUUUGCAUUGCCUUUGUGAGUAUACACUUCUGACCACAAGCGAAUAUGAACACAUUUGACGCAUGCCCACUACAACUUCUUUGUGAUACUCUUUUAGUACAGGCAAUAGCAGGUGCAUGCGUCAGCGACACGCACAGCCGGGGACCGCGUGCGCAGGUCAAGAAAAUCUAGGCGGCGUGCGGUAAAGCCACGCUGUUGUGCUGAUGACGCAAUUUGCAUUACACAUACUGUGCGCAGAGCGAUCCGCAAUGUGGACACCUGAAGUAUACUUUGGCCUUAAGUAAGACAUUCUUAGGUGGAUUUCCUCGAAAACUGUAAACACUGUCAAUCUGUGGUGCUACAAAUAUCGCUCUGCUUGUUUUGAGCGACCCAUCCAGCCCAGCACAACAACACUGACUCAACCAAUAGUCUGAGUUUAGGGCAGGACUAUUAUGUUUAAUCAAUGUCAGAUGGGGGAGUUCUCGAGAAAGAUGUUUGAAAACAAUGACCAAGUUUACAUGAACUUAAGAAAACGGCUUAUUCCAGGGUUUUUGCAGAAAGUAGCGUUCUAAAACGUCAUGUAAACGAGAAUGCCGGUUUCUUACGCUGCUUAAGGUAUUAAGAGAAAGUGGUGUAAGACACAUAGGUUUCUCCUUGAGAACGCAGCUUAAUGUGGUCAUGUAAACAUAAGCAGCGUUCUAAUGGGUGUUUGAAGAGUGUGCAUUGCGUAAACAGACCGAAUAACAAACGUCAUUGAGCCAGCACAAUAGAAAGAAUUUAACAUUUCUAGAAAUACAGUGGGAAACGCACAUACACUAUAAACUAUACCCAUUUAUACACACCAAUGUAAAAUAUCGAUGGUCCCUCACGUUCGCAAAUAUGCGCUCAUAUAUUGAGGGAAUUCCGGAGUUUUGCGUAAGAGAGAAACCCCACUAUUGCAGCGCAAUUCCACUGGAGAUCGCGAUAGAAAGUCAAGGAAACAAACAGCAACAACUUUGGAAUAUCUGGAAAUAAAGCGGAACAUGGAGAAUAAACUAGCAAAGUCUUCCUCGGAUGCCAUGUUUUGUAAUACUGCUUACUGACUGAGCUGCAUGUAUACAGGAGCAAAAAGUAUGCCGCUUAUGCAGUGCAUGUAAACCAGAACGCUGCUUUCUCACAAUAACUCUCUUUCUGGUGUCCAUGUAAACAUAGUCCUUGUUUAUUUUUGCAGGUCAGAUUGGAAGCGCUACUGGCGCAGAAAUUACACACUUCAGCUUUAAAUCUCCUAAUAAGUGCUACGAAAAAGAGCUGAUAGGUAGAUAUUACUUCCAAAUGGUUUGUAAAUGAAUUUCAAAUAACCCAAAAAUGCUUACAUUGGCCAUCGUGGCUGUCCUUACAGAUAGCCUCAAUGAUAUUUAAAUAAAGCAACCAAAUGCACUAUUGCUUGUAAAGGUGUUGCAAUUCAUUCUAGUCUAAUUUACACAAGGGAUAUAUUUUAGAGUAGGGCAGAGAAAAACCGAUGGCGACAGAAAUACCAACUUUGCAGUACAGUAUUGGACAACUGUCUAGUAAAAGUUAUGUAGGACAUACAUGUACCGCUACAUGCGAAUGUAUUGUAAUUUCUUUGUUCAUUCUGGUAUGGAUUCAUAACCAUGCAUGGAGACAGUGUCACCGAACCAACCAAGUAUCAGGCUUCAUUGUUAAAGUUCUAUGAUAGGCUUUAACAUUGGACAUUAUUGUGACUCUAUGUUUGUUCAUAUGUAAAAAGGAAAAACAAUGGCAACAACAAAAAUGGUUUAUUUCACCAAGACUUUGGUUAGCCAAAAUUGUGUAGUUUGUGAAAGUGUGAAAAACCUGCACGAAAAUGUUUAGACACAAUUCAGAUGCUUAAAUGUCAUAGUCUGCUCACUAUUCAUUACAUCUACUGGACACCGUUCCUGUGGGUUCUAAAAAGCACUAUGGUGAUCACUUCAGUGGGCUAGUUCAGAUAGAUGUUUUUUAAUACAGUAUAUAUUUACGGUUCGUAGACGUAGAAUUAGCUCUUAUUUUUGUUUCUGUUGCUGCGUAAAAUGGUAAUUUUAGAAUACAUGAUAAUUUUCAUCAGUGUACAGUAUAGCUACAGCAAUCUCUAAUGCUAAUACAGUAAGUUUUUGUUGUAGGACUUUCAGCUACUUUUCUCCUUUUUAACAAAGGUACAUUUUUUAAAACUUAUUUUAUAAAUUUUAUCUAUUUCUAAAUGAUAGCUUGUGGGCAGAAAAGAAAGGCCUUGGAAAACACAUUACCAAUAUUUAUAUAAGAGUGAAUAUGAUUGGAAUGAAUAUGAACAGUUAAAUGAUUUGUUUGAUUAUAUGCUCUUUUUCAUAACAACGUACAAAAAAAUACAUGUGCAUCCCGAAAUACUGGUUUGAGAAAUUCCCACUAGAUUUUAGUAAUCAUUCCGAUUCAGACUAUUUUUCCCCAUCUCCCCAUAUACUGUACCCUUUUUAAAUAACCAGAUUCAAACUAACAUUUCUGCAUAUAAAUCUUUUAUCUGGUAGUUUUUUCUUUGAUUCUUACAAACAACUUUAUCUUCUAAUCUCUACACACUGGUCAAUAACAAUUAAAAAUGACAGGAUAUUCUCAUCAGCAUCUAUAAUACAGUACUGUAACCAAAAUAUACCACCUAACACUGUACAUGUGAAGUUUUGCAAUGCCUCUCCUUUGUAGAAGAAAAAAAAAAAAUGAAGUGCCUCUUUUUACAGCUCCAGGCUUAAUAAAGCUCACAAUAAUACUGUUAUUUUUAUUCUAUAAUAAUAAUACUUUCACGAAACAGUAAAAAACCAAACAAACAAAGUAUUCACUGCCUAAAAUGUAACACGUACAUAGUUAAUUAUUGACACAUCCCACUAUGAGGCAAGUAUGCGGACUACCAGCAAUAAUAGAGUUACAAAAUAGAUCUGAAAAGAAGAAAAAAACUUGACUUGUAACAUUUGAGGACCAUUAUUAAGUAAGGGUGUUCUUUUGUCUUUUAACCCCUGAAAUCACCAAAAUGUUUUAAAUUAAUCAUUUAAAAGAAAAUACAUGUUUGCACAUGUUUUUUAUUUUAUUUUAUUUUAAUUUUGAACUGCCUUUAGAGUUUCAUGGUUAAAUAAGCCACACAUUGUAGACGCCCUACUUAAAAUGUCUGCAUUUUCAGUAUGCAGCUAGUUUAUUGGACCCAGGUUGUCCAAAACAAUUUGUUCUUCCUAUUCUAUUUCCUCUUCUUCCUCUCUUCUUCUUGAUUCUUUCCUGUUGUAUUUGCUUGAGAUGACAUCUUUCCUUGCAAGGAUUUUAAUACUAAAUGCCUUUGAGCAGUGCUUGUUAUGAUCAACAUAAUAUUAUGAAAACAAUACUCAAUAGUCAUUGUUUUUUUUUCAUUGAUCUAUAAGAUUAGCCAUAUAAAGGAGAGAAUUAACAGAAGCAGUUAAAGUGAAAUUAGUACAGUCAGAGACAUACAGUUUGUAUCUUAUUCAGUAGACAACCAUAUCAUAUGCUCAAAUCCAAAGACAAAAGCAUUUACUCUAUGACUACAAAUGGUUCUUUUUUUUUUUUUUUUUUUUCAGAAACAAUAGAAAAUGUUACAUAUAUGUUCAGGACAAAGUACAAUGCAGAACUGAACAAGCAAACAUAGUAACAAAAUAUCUUUAGAAGAAGCAUAUAUUCAUGAAAGUUCAGAUGCAGAUACUGCAGUUUGUGUUACUAAUCACACAAGGCAUACUUUUAACAUGAUUGCUGACUACACAAUUUAAAAAUGACUUAAAGAUGAAGUGUGUGAUUUUUUUUUUUUUUUUUCGUUAAAUACUUUCUCCUGUGCUAGCAGAGACAACUACAAGUAAGCCUUUCAUAGAUUGAUUCCUCCUUAAAAUGUAAACACUGACUCAGUGGCACUUUCAAAACAUUGCUUUGCAGCAUCUCGCCCAGCCCGACACAGCAACAUUGACUCAACCAAUGCAUGAGUUUGGGGUAGGACUGUUUGACGGCCAGUGGAAGACAGGGGGAGUGUUUAGGAAACCUGUUUAAAACCUGUUUCGUAUAUUUGCAACUCCAUUUGGUGAUGCUGCAGAAAUUACACACUUCAGCUUUAAGGGCCUGCAAGGAAUUUGGACAGAUGGUGUUCCUUGUACUAAGCUGUAAGGAGUCAUGAUGCCAUCUUCCCUUAUCUGUGACAUGCAUGUUUUGUGCUGUCGAUAUCCCCACAAUCGCAGUCUAUAUAGACAGGAAGAAAUCUGUCCUGUUAAAAUUAAAUCUCAGUUGACCGGUAACAUGAUGAUUUUAAUAGACCAAUUAGAAGUAUUUUCAGUUAAACGGUAAAUCAGCUAAACAAUCAAUUCACGUAACACAUUUGUUCCACUACUGUCAUAAUUAAGAAUUCCUAAACAAAAUACAUUUUCCAUGUGAAUUACUUCUGGUUAAAAAUAAUUUGGUGUCACAAUCGCAAUGCUGGACCAAAAAGAAAAAUUCUAAAUGAUUUAUUGCUAUAAUUAUAAUUCCUAUAUACCACUGAAAAACUACCGCAUAUCAGUCCCACUAUCAAAGCAUGCCAAAUGGUCGUUUACACAUUGACUACAAAUUGAUGCAAUACUCUAGUAGAUAUUAAAGGGAUAGUUCACCCAAAAAUUUAAAUUCUCUCAUUUACUCACCCUCAUGCCAUCCCAGAUGUGUAUGACUUUCUUCAGCAGAACACAAACGAACAUUUUUAGAAGAAUAUCUUGGCUUUGUUGGUCCUUACAAUGCAAGUGAAUGUUGACCAGACCUUUGAAGCUCCAAAAAUGACAUAAAGGCCACGUAAAAGUAAUCCAUACGACUCCAGUGGUUUAAUCCAUGUCUUCAGAAGCGAUAUGAUAGGUGUGGUUGAGAAACAGAUCAAAAUUUAAGUCCUUUUGUACCAUACAUUUCCACUUUCACUUUCACAUUCUGGUCACCAUUCACUUGCAUUGAAAGAACCUAAAGAGCUGAAAUAUUCUUUUAAAAAUCUUUUUUCAUGUUCUGCUGUAGAAAGAAAGUCAUACACAUCUGGGAUGGCAUGAGGGUGAGUAAAUGAUGAGAUCAUUUGAAUUGAAUUGGCCACGCCCAACAGGAUGUUGAAUUGGAAUGACAGGAAGUGCACUUUACACAAAGGGCAUUCUAAAUUCAGUUUGGUAAGGUCCACAACCCUGCUGUUACUGUUCAUGGUUUCUCCUUUUAACAGUUGCCAUUGGGGCAGCAAGAGUUUAACCCAGUCGAUUGUUAUGAAAAUGAUGUGGGCUUGUGUCACAGGUUUUCUGAUACUUUGGUCUUUAGGACUCUAAGAGCACAUGGAGAAAUGUUUUCCUUUUAACAAGCUGCACAAUUUGACCUCUGCAUUCAUUCCAACAGGCAAUGUUUGUGUGAGGUAAUACAAAUUUGUGGACAGUUUGUUGACAAACAGAAGAGAACCUAACAAUUGCUUCUGAGACUUAGGCAGACAUUUCCUGAUCUUCAAUAACAGUACCUACUCAGUCCAUGUACUGUAUAGUCCUUUAUGUCUGGUAGAGUACUGUAGCUACACUCUCAGUAUGAUUUACACAUUGUAAAUCUACAAGUUCAUUGUCAGUACAUAUUUUUUCUUCCCAUGCAUUGCUUUUCAGUUUACAGAUCCCAUAGAAAUAAACUUCAUUGUACAUACAUGAUGUUGUACAUAAUCAUAAUAUUGUAAAGUUCAAUCCUGAAGCUAUCAGUCAUAUCUCUCUCUGUAUAUAUAAAUGUGAGUGAGUGUGUGUCUGUGUGUAUAUAUAUAUAGAGAGAGAGAGAGAGAGAGAGAGAAAGUGGGGGGCAAUUAUUCCAUGAGAGCAGUCUAAUUUCAUGUUCAUUCACAUAAAUACAGAUUUUUCUAUGUACGUAAGAAACAUUUAACAAUAAUACACAUUGCAAAUUUGAAACUUUAAAGUUAGGGACAUUUAUAUACUGUAUAUUCCUUUGGCUGAUGCUUUUGACAAUGUGAUAUACAGGUAUUGUGUAUAGGCAAGAAGUAGAUUAGUGUAACAGAUAGAUAAUACACUUAUCUCUUUAAGAUUAUUACAUUUCUUGGAAUCGUUGGUACUUCACAUAGUUGCAAUUAAACUAAACAGCAAGUCUAGCAGAUGAUAAAUUAUUAAUUAUUAUGUCAAUUUCUUACAAUAAUGUUUUGUUUUGUUGGCCAUUCGAUUUUAAUCUGCCAAAUUAUUUUACUAUGUUUUAACCAGUGCUGAACUGAUGUAUUCAACUCACAGGAAAAGCUGAUAAGACAGAAUAAAAUCCUUCAUGAUGAACAUUUGCAUGGGGGCUACAGGGGCGCAAGCAGAUUUCUCUUCACACUCUGUCCACGUCCUUUCGCCCCUGCCCCUGCUAAGGUCUGUGCACGUCACUGUAUGUUUUAUAGUCUUCAAAAGUUUGUUUGCUUUGUAAAACCUGCUGUUUAGAGAUAUUAAAUAAGGUUUUUUAGUGUGUGUACAAGGCCAUUUUGUUUUAUUUUUAAAUGUCAAACACUGGACUAGAGUGAUUUUCUUUUUUUUUUCUUUUUUUUUUUUUUUAAAUUUCAAAAGUUAUUAUUUUUGAAGUAUGGCCCACAAAGCAGCACAGCAUAUAGAAUUAUUGCAACCAACACAUUCAGCAACUUCAUUCAGCUACAGGGGUUGUCUUCACUCAACUUUCUGGCCUGAUUUUUGUUGGGAAAAACGUUAAGCAAUGCAUCAGUUUUUAAAUCACAAAACCAGAGUUAAACCUUUUCCCACAAAGCAGAAGUAAUCUUUUUAAAUCAUUCCCUCUGUAAAACAAUUGCAUGAUAAAAUAUCUAAAGGGAAACCACUCAUCUAAUACAACAACAGAAAGAAACCACUAAGCAUAAAACUUUCUGUCAACCAAACCCCACGGUUGUUCCCUGUAGCAAUCCUCUUUGACUCAAAAACCCAAAUACCACUCAUCAAACCAGAAAAUAAUUUUGCACUAAAAUGAUUCUUGGUCUUCUUUGAUAAAUAGCAAUAGAACACUUAACUCACACUUACACAAACCAUGGAAAACAUUAAAAGCUUUUCUUCAAUUAUGCUGUUUAAAAAACAAAAGGGGGUGAUUUUUGUUUGUGUAUACAGGCACAAUAUGGAAGAGGUGUGAUAAUACUAAAGCUGUAAACUUGGGUAUAAAUUCUGUUAAAGAAAAUACAUGUAACAUGUCCGAGUUAUAGGUACAGUACAUGUUAUACUUCCUUGUGUGAUUGUUUUGAACAAUUCUUUUUCUUUUUCUUUUUUUACAAACCCAGAGGAAAAAAAGAGGUGGAGAUGGCAAGCUGUCCCAGAAACAUGAAGACAUUGUGUUGUGGUGUUUCAACACUAAUAAAAUAUUUAUAGCAGGCCAACUCGCUUGUCUUUUGGAGAGACUAGUAUAUGAGAACUCCUUGGGAGAGACCUUAAAUAGGUGCAAACAUGUACUUCUGGUUUCUUGUUAUUAAAUAAUAUUUUUCAUUGAUGUCAGUGAUCUUUUACAAUAAAAUGUGUAGAUGUCAGUACUGCCAUGUUUCUGGGACUUUAUUAGAAAGACAGGUGUUUUGACACAUGGCUUGGUUUCUGCCUACCAAUAGAAAUGGCUCUUUUCCUUAAAAAUUCCACACACCAACACAUUCAAAGCCCUAUUUAUCCACAAAGGAGGAAACUGAUUAAAACAGCAAGGCUUUCUUUUUGGCUAAUUAUGCGUGAUCUAUAAUAACUUACAGCAGUCAUAAAUAGUGAUGGUUUUUGAUUUGUGGAAAUAGUGGCUUUCCUGUUAAAACUGCUUUAUGGUGUUGUUGAAAGGUGUUGCAGUUUGUCUAAAUAUGUUGCGUGUUAGAGGAAGCAUAAGUAUGUGCCUUCAUGUUAUCUUCUUGGUGAGCUUGUUAUAAUAAGAAGCUGAAGCCAGCCAGUUGUGUUUGCACUAAAACCAAACUGCUUUUGUGAUGUAGGUAAUUUGAGCAAGCUUGUUGCGUCACUUUAACAGUAUGCAUGAGGGUGAUAUCUGGUGAAGUUCUAGGGAUAGAGCUCUUAUCUGUUGAUUUGUAAACUAGUGCAGCUUAGGAAAUCCCCAGAAUAAUAUCUCCGCAUUCUUCUGUUUAGUUCCAAUGCCAUCUGAUCACAUCAUCAUGUCUUGCAGUGACAUAUUCCAUAUUCAAAAGAAACACCAAACAUGCAUAAAUUCAAAUAUAAUAUUACAUGCUAUAGAGUAUUUAACAUGUAUGUGGAAAAGACUGUCACGCGUUGCUCUGAAUCAGUGGGGAUGCAUGAGUUCAUGAGGUCGCCUCAAGACUAUUGGUCAUGUUAUUGUUUUUGUUUUAUUUUGCGUUGCAUUUGUAACUUAUUUUAAUUUUGUUUAUUGAUACCUUAAAAAAGGCCUACAUGCUUUUGAGUCUUACAAAUGCACCUUAUUCUCACCUGUCUAAAGAGACGGGCCUUGUAAUAUCUCUAAUUUAGCACCUUACUACACAGCAUGAUUUCACUUUAUGCCAGUUUUGCUAUACUUCCAUGCAUAUGAUUUGACAGAAAAAAUAAACCUUAUAUAUUUUGUGAAUAUAUUUAAAGGGAUGUGCCAAAGUUUGGAGGCGAUCUCCCUUGUUUUUAUGCUUAUUAUUCGUUUUUUUUUUUUCUGUUCCUUUCGCUUCAGUUAUUUCAGUGGUAUCUCAUGUAACCUUUCUUACAAUUGUGUUUAGAAAAAAAUAAAAUAUUUCAGCAAACAGUAUCAUUACCUGCCAUUUUACAGUAAGCCCUGUAUUUUCACGUAUAUUUACCAGUGAUGUGUAUUUGUUAUUAAACAGAAAAUAGCUGUAAAAGCUUCAUUAUGUUACAUAAUAUUGUGACUUUUUUCGAAAAAACUGUGAAGACUUGCAUAUACUUUAUACAGAAGUAUUAAGCCUUAAUGCAAAAGACUAAAAAAAAAAAAAAAAAGAGUGGAAGAAUAACUGAUUGUUGCAAAGUAAGGAUGAUUUUUUUGUAAAUGUUACCAGCACCUUUUUUUGUAAUUUUCACUCUCUGAGGUAUUGUACAAGUUCACUCUGUUUGUGAAGUUUGAAUAUGAAGGAAUAAAAAUAGUACUUUCCUGUACUUUACAAGA